GUCUACAGCCAUAUUACUCAGAAUGUGCCUCAUCUCAUCUGAUCUCAUAGGCUAAGCAGGGUCAAGUCUUGGGUAAUACUUCGAUAGGAGGGUGUACCUAGCAUGUACAAGACC
ensembl:rRNA 5S_rRNA 5S ribosomal RNA